GGAGGAUAUAGCUCAGAGUGUGUGCCUAGCAUGCAUGAGGUCCUGGGUUCAAUCCCCAGUACCUCCA
rnacentral:tRNA from 1 species